AUGUCAACUUACAAUUCUUUGUUUGAAUACUUUGAUAAGUUUUCUGAAGUGUGUUUCUCAAGUGUCGUAUUAAAUAAAUCAUGUUUCCAAGUGCUUUUAUACCAAGGUACGCGUUCCCUAAGGAAGUAUUAUGUCGUACUUUACUACAGUCCGACUUCUACGUAGGUAUUUUGGUUCGCAACAAGUUUUGUUUUGGAUUUAAAAACUUCGUGAGUAGAUAUCAUAUUAUACAAAUGCAAUAUUUGGUUUCGCUCUAACGCCAUUGCCUUUUCUAAUACUAAUCAUUUAUAUUUUCAGUUUAAAAUGGCUCCACAUAAGGGGUUCGGCAACUCCUCAACAAAUCGAAACCGUUCUCAAUUUCCUGGACGAACAUAGAGAUUAAGCUAGUGGUAGAUUGAAUAGUUGAAUCCAGCCAGGAAGAUAACCUGAGAGUCCAGCUGUAAUAGCUGCCUAUGUACCACCACCAUUGACGCAAGAAUGUCUGACUUUCACACCUUCCUCUCGACAUACACACUCAACAAGGAGACGAUCUGCCAGCACAGUGUAAGAAGCCGAUUGUAUCAAUAUGAAGAGGAGGGUGCACAGAGAGAGACGGUGAAAAACGCAGAGCUUGCAGGCAUCAGGGGCGAAUUGGCAGGCAUCAGUGCUACCCUGUUGCAGCUGCAUAACACAAUAAAGGAAUAUGUGGAUAGGAAUUAAGAUUCUGUUAAUGUAUUGUUAGUCAUUAAUUGUGUUUAGUAUUUCUUUGUUAUUAAUUUGUUAUGUUUAAACAGGGUAAUAGUAAAUAAAACUUUAAGUAGGUAUAUAA
rnacentral:lncRNA from 1 species